rnacentral:rRNA from 1 species
GAUGAACGCUGGCGGCGUGCCUACUAAUUGCAAUUCGAGCGAACAGCCGAGGAGCUUUCUCCUCUCAGGUUGGCGGUGGACGGGUGAGUAACACUUGGAUAACCUACCCUUUAUACUGGGAUAACUCCUGGAAACAGUAGCGCUUAUCCCAUAACCUGCUUAACCGUAUGGUUCAACAGUGAUCGACGCUUUUGCUUUCACUUAUACCUGUUUCCGCGCCGCAUUAGCUAGUUGGUAAGGUAAAGGCUUACCAAGGCAACGAUGCGUAGCCGAUCUGAGAGGGUGAUCGGCCACACUGGAACUGAGACACGGUCCAGACUCCUACGGGAGGCAGCAGUAGGGAAUAUUGGGCAAUGGGCGAAAGCCUGACGGAGCAACGCCGCGUGAGUGAAGAAGGUCUUCGGAUUGUAAAACUCUGUUAUUAGGGAAGAAAAAAAGUAUAAGUAACUAUGGACGUCCUGACGGUACCUAAACAGAAAGCAACGGCUAACUACGUG